rnacentral:rRNA from 1 species
AUAGAGACUCAGAGCUGCAUAUCAAUAAGCGGAGGAAAAGAAACUAACAAGGAUUCCCCUAGUAACGGCGAGUGAAGCGGGAAGAGCUCAAAUUUGUAAAUCUUCAAGGGUUCUACCUUGACGAAUUGUAGUUUAUAGAAGUGUUUUCUGUUAGUGGAGUUUGGUAAAAGUUCUUUGGAAUAGGACAUCAUAGAGGGUGAGAAUCCCGUAUUUGGUCAUUCCUUCCUAGCGUUGUGAUACACUUUCAAAGAGUCGGAUUGUUUGGGAAUGCAGUCCAAAAUGGGUGGUAAAUUUCAUCUAAAGCUAAAUAUUGGCGAGAGACCGAUAGCGAACAAGUACCGUGAGGGAAAGAUGAAAAGAACUUUGAAAAGAGAGUUAAACAGUACGUGAAAUUGUCAAAAGGGAAGCGUUUGACACCAGUGUUGUUUUUCUCGAAAAUCAAUUAAAAUGACCGGAUUUUGUUUUGUAAUUGACUUUAUCAGCUUUCUGCACUUUUUUCUUGUAACUUUCUUAAUGCACUUUUCGGUUAACAAGUCAACAUCAAUUUCUUUUGUUGUAAAAGGGUAUGAGGAAGGUGGCUUUCUUUUCGGAGAAAGUGUUUAUAGCCUUGUACCUCUGCAAUCGGAGAGAUUGAGGUCUGCAGCGUAGAUCCUUCGGGGUUAGAUACAUUUGUGCUAAGUUAUAGCUUUUCAUAGACAACUUGUUGACUAUGUUAAGUCUUGUAGCUUACUCGCUUAUGCUAUUUUACCUACGCUUAGGAUGUUGAUAGUCACAGCGUGUAC